CGAUUCUUAUUUCCUCUAGGAAUGAUGAUUGGAGAUCGUUCAUAUUCCAUCGAGUAGAAAGUGUGUGUCAUAUUUAUGCAAAUUACUUAGGUAUGAAAGGUAUCAGAAAUUAUUUUAUAGCAAGAAAGGGCGCUGGAUCGAUUCAUUUAAUGUCUCUGGCCUCGUCUACUGGAAACCAUGGCAAUUGGCCCGAAUGAGGAGAAAGCUCAGUGGUCGUGCGUGAGCGGGAGACUAGUACAGUCACCACUAUAGGCGACAUGGAGACAAUGUUAAGAGUCCCUAUUGAAAACCAUGGCCGAGACAUAUCCUGUCACGAGGAUGGGAAUGCAUCAAAGUGGAUUGUAAUAUAGAAACGUGAGUUGUAUCUACUUAUCAAUAGGAAUUGUAUAGACUUUGAGGUGUAGCCGAUGUGAGCUUCCUCCUCUCCUCUUCAAAAUAAUAUAUUGCGAUUAUUCUAGUAGCGUGCAUGUGUGAUGGAUCCAUCGUCCCUGUCCACGACGCAGAAGAUUUUCGACGGGACCAUCGAACGUGUGCCGUUCGUCAGAGUUCCUGAACCUGAUCGACUGCUCGUCAUCGUUCAUACACGGUACACGUACGGUACGCUAGGGGUGGUCUCCAUCCGCGAGCUCAUACGUACGUCCAUGGGCGCUCAGCACAAGGUAGAGGCGCGGUGGCACCCUCCCCCAUUGAUCAACUUCGUCUAACAUCAGAUCACUUAAUGUGGUAAAAAAACAACGUGUGUUUUUGGAUGAAAGAAAAAUAAUCAGAAACUCUGUACAACGUCUUGACCGAAUAAAAUUACAAAAAAACACGAGCUGCAUGUGCCAUCUAUAGCAGCUCAACAGAAAGUAAUUAGGAACAAUUUCACUAUCAAAAAUAAAUGAUGAAUAAAGAAAACUACUCCCUCCAUUCCCUUAUACAAGGUCACAAACUCAUAUUACAGGUAUCAAGGCAAAAUUUAAUGACCGCUUGGAAAGUCAAGUUUUCUUUUGUUAACCAGAAUCAUUAAUACGCUGCAUGCAUGCAACGAAUGGAUGAGAAGAAAGUAGCUAAGUGUCAUUAUGAAUAUAUGCAUGCAAUUAUUAAACAAGUUGCUAGUAUGAAGAAACAUCAUUAAUAUGUUACCUCGAUUACUGUUGGUGGCCUUAUAUAGAUGCAAAAUGUAUUUUUCAUAGUGGCCUUGUAUAAGAGAAUGGAGGGAGAAUAAUCAGUUUUGUCGCUAUAUUCCUCUUCGUCCCUCCUAUCUCGGAUCUGCAUACUUAUAUUUUACAAAAUCCACACAUUAGCAAGUCAAAAUCCACACAUUAGCAAGUCAAAAUCCACAUAUUAGCAAGUCGAAAUUACCCCUGCAGGUUAUAUUAUGUUCAAGUUGGACGGUGCUUCCAGUGAGCUUCUUAGUUUUUCGUCCCGACUAGCCUUAUUGAAUCUCAAAUCAUGCUUUGUCCUCAUGAUUGUAGAUUUUGCAGUAAACCUACGCAUGCUCUUGAGUCUUCUGAUGUCGUCGUUGUCUAAGGAAUCCAGGCUAUGUGGUCGAUGAAAAAAUAAGAUUUUUAUAGCCUAUUUGGUGACCGGUGAUUUUAGCCAUGUUUUAAUGUAGUAUAUGGUAUGAAAUUUUUUCAGCACAUUUGGUGUCUAAACUAAUUAAGAUUUUGGUUCCUAAUUGUUGAAACUGGGUUAUGGUUGGUAGUUAGCGUCUGAUGGGAUGAGGUCCAAUAUAUGACAUGAGAAAUAUAUGAUAUUACUAUGCAAAACAUAAAUGCAAACAUAACAAAACAUAACUUGCUCCAGAUGCCUGCCCAUGUGCUAAAAUAAUGUGGUGGGCGAGCGGGGCAACUUCAUGUCACACACACCCAAUUGAUAAAUACAUGGUCUUUUAGAGCCUCUCAAUGCCAAUUCAUAUUCCUUUAGCAACGAUGAUCGAAGACUGCCCAUGGCGAGUAGAAAGUGUGUAUCAUGUCUAUGCAAAUUGUGUAGGCAUGAAAGGUAUCAGAAAUUAUUUUACAGCAAUAGUGGGUGAUCAGUCGACUAGUUUUAUGUGACUAACCUCGUCUACCAAGGGCCGUGGCAGUUGGCCCGGAUGAGGAGAGAGCUCGGCGGUCCUACGUGUGUGGGUACAGGCACAUUUGUCACUGGACAGAGUGUCUCUACGAGUUGAGUCUCCCCGAUCAUUUUUGAAUAAACCACUCCCUCCAAUCAGUGUUUUUGCCGCGGUUAUAGUAUAACCUUGUACAAAAGUUGUCCUAAAGCAGUGACAAGUAAUACAAAUCGGAUGGAAUACUAUUUAUCUUUCCAAAAAAUAAAAUAAUUACAU
rnacentral:lncRNA from 1 species